CCUGCCCACCAGCACCAUCCAAAAGCACAGUACUUUCCAGGCAGAGCCAAAGCAUGCUAAGUGAGAAAUAGUCCUCCCACCAUGUGAGAGUACGCUGGGCUGCCUUUCCAUUUUAAAGAAUUGCCUUGGUGAGAUGUCUUCAGUUCUUCUGCUCAGAGCUGGACCAAAGCAGCUGUCGAUCCUUUGCCUCUUUGCACUUUGGAGCCCAGUCCUGAUGGGACCAGGUGUCAGAGCCCUGCCAAAUCUGUGAGAAGGGUGGAAGCAAGUUUCCCUGAGGGAAAAAAAAACAACAAAAAAAAACCUUCUGGAAUUGGGAAAAAUUUAGGUCAACAUCAUUUGAACCUUGACCUCUUGCUCUUUUGUCCCCGGGUGGACAUUUCCUUGACCUCCAGAAAUUCCUCCACCUCAAGGGAAGACUUCUUGCCCCCCUCACUUCCAGAGGCCUCCAAAGUGGGCUGGGAAGAGAUUUAAAGCAGGACCCUGGGAAGCAUGAUGAGACUCUGGAGUGUAGAGAGGCUUCCCUGCAAUGCAAAGAUCUUCAAAGGCCAAGCCCAAGGCACUGCAACCCCCAGGAGGGCCCACUCCAAAGCAGAACAGUGGAGGGAGAGCCUGCGUGUCAAGAAGCCUGGACAGCAAGACCCCCUACUGUGGCAGCCAGCCUGCUUGUAGGAGUCCUGAGAAGCCUAAUUCAAUUACCCUUAUCAGAAUGUCUCUGAACUUAACAAAGCAGAUAAUGAGUUCCAGAGACAGAUACUGCUUGGGGGGCCAAAAUUAUUUUGCUUCCCCAAAUUGGAGGCUGAAAUUGGAGAUGUUUGAAUAAUGGAAAACAUAAUCCUUCCCUAGGCCCAACCCCCUCCCAGUACCCACACCUGAGACACCCUUUCAACCAAGGAGCCUGGAUUCAACAUCCAUGCCGUCUCUCCUCCUGAAGACACCUGGUCAUGAACUCGACCUCUUUCCCCCACCAUCUUUGUGCCAUCGAUGGAAGGAAGCUGCGUACAGGAUGGAAGUGGGAGGGGAAAGGGAUUAACAUUUAUGGAGCCCUCCCCUCUAUGUGUCAGCUACAUAACACAUAGCAUUCAUUUCAACCACAGAACAUAUGUCUUUACAUUACAGAAGGCAACGGAGAACUGGAAAAGUUAACUUACUGCCUGAGGACCCAUCCCCAUCUCACCAGCAGCACAGUCAGAUUCAGACACAGGUAUUCAACUUUGCAACACACUGUGCCUCACGGCCUGUGUGCUCAACAUCAGAAAUCAAAUAGAAACUCCCUCAUUCUAAGAUUCAUAGCCAUCCUCCGAGAUAUGACAUAGCGACCUCUCCUCCGUGAACAGGGAAACAGACUGAGAGGAUAACCUAACUCUCCCAAGGCCAGAGUAUCCACUGGGAUAUGCAGCCAAGUCAGCCAGCAGUUGAAACAAGGGCUCUCUGUGCUAUCUCACAUCUGAAUUGAAUUGUUUCCUACAGACUUCUCAUAGCUCUCUAGGCAAGGAAUACAUCUUCUCACCUUCCCACACUAAGAAAGGCCUCUGUCUGAGCCUGGGUGCCGGGUGGCCAGGAUUCCUGCUGAACGUUCAGGAGCUUUCCAUCUCCAGAGGUCACCUGCUGCUCCAAGGAGGAUGAGAGACCUAUGGGGAAGACCUGGACCCAAUCUGAAGUUAGAACUAAGUGCAACUGAGCCCAGCCUGGAUUAACCAACUCCCAGCCAAUCCACAGACACCUGGGUAAGAAUACAUGAAUGUUGU
rnacentral:lncRNA from 1 species